CAGACGCCCUGCGCCUCCAGGGGGCGGAGCCGAACCGCCUCUUCAGGACCUACCCAGGAGGCGCCGCCAUCCCCACAGCGACGCCUGAGAGGACCGUCUUCUCCUCGGGGCCCACUCGGGAGACGCCACUGUCUCUGUAGGAACACCUGGGGACCGUGGCCAGGGACGACCCAGCCUCCUUCUCCUCAGCUCGUCAGGAACGGCUGGGGAAGCUGUGGCUUCACGGCCCCCGAGGCUGCCCGAGGAGAGGUAUUUCAGGACAGCCAGGAGGGGGCGCACAUCCGCCGAGAAACUGUGAGCAAGAGCGUCUGUGCUGAACCUUGGCGCCACCAGAGGGCGCGCGAUCCCGCCCCAACCAACUUGCUGCUGAGGUGUCAGCACCAGCGAGGAGCUUAAACUUCCUCAGGGCAGCACGAGGGUCGUGUUAACUUGGUGUUCUUCAUUGGUUGUUGGAACAUAAUAAGAGUUAAUGUGUGCUCUCUGCCGAAGUGUCCUGAAACAGCGCUAAGCCUUGGGAAUGUAGAAAGUGAUGUGUCUUUCAUAUGCUAAUGAAAUGAUUGAUGGCUGGGGGCACCUGGACAGCCUCAGUGGGGCUGGCUGCCAAGGGAAGCAACCUUGUCAUUAGAGGAUUUGAAAUUUCUUCCCCCCUCCCGUCUCUGUGAAGGAGAGAGGUGCUGAUGGUUGAGUUGAUCACCUAUGGCCACUGAUGUAACCAAUCUGCCUGUGUAAUAAAGGACAGGGUUGGGAGAGCAUCUGUGUUGCUCUCCCAACACAGGAGAUACUGGGAGGAUCAUAUCUGGAGAGGGCAUGGGAGGCCUGCAUUCCUUCCAGAUACCUCACCCUGUGCAUCUCUUCAUCUGGCUUUUCAUUUGUAGCGUUUAAAAGAUCUUUGGUAAUAAGUCAGCAAUAGUAAGUACACUGUUUUAAUGGGUUCUGUAAUGUGAUAUAGCAAAUUGCUGAACCCAAUAAGGGUGUUGUGGGAGCCUGCAAUCUGUAGCAAAGUCAGAUAGAAGGUAACCUGGGAACCUACUGUUUGUGGUUGGCAUCUUAAGUGGUUACAGAGUUGUAACUGAGUACCCAUAUUUUCUUAAAGAAGAAAUGAAUUACUUUUACCAUUCUGCUGUUCCUGAACUUCCUACUUAGCUCUUUAGGAAUGCAAUUAUAAGCUUUACUGUGUCUCCAGCAGACACUUCCUAUGCUGCAAACUUUUCCAACUUAUAAGUUCCAGGGAUCAAACCUUGAAACAAACUGGCACCUCCAGAUCUCUCCCCCACCAGGAGAUUGGCAGGAGACAACAGUCAAUUUACAACAUAGCUCUGCCUGUGGUGGUGCUAGCAAGACCACCUAAUGGAGAAAACAUCAGAUCACGUCCUAUAGAUUCCAAACGUCCUCACCCCAUCCCCUGCGUGCCAUUCUGCCAAGUCCCCCUUUUAAAGCUCGCACUUUCGGCCCAGAAAGUGGAAGCAGUUCCCCUAAGGCAAUAGCGUGUACGUUCCCUUCAGCUAAGCUCUGGCAUAAAGUCACUUACUUUCUACCAUCCUUGCGCUUGUCAUUUGAAUUUGCAAGCAACCAGGGGCAUGGCGUGGAUUCCUAGCAUGGAGCCCUUAUCCUGUGGGGUCUGAUGCUUUCUCCAUUUACUGUCACAAUUGGAUUGCACUGUAGGACACCCAGCUGGUACCCAAGAUUUGGUCUGUGUGGGGAAAAAAACCCAUGUGUCUGGUAACAGAAGUGUUCUGUGUAGAGUGUUGAGAGUAUAC